CGUCAGAGGAGACGGCCUGACUGAACCGAGCGUGAGGGAAAGCGCCGGCACCUGUCAGUGAAGUGGGUCGGGCGCUUGCUCCAGGCCAUGGUCUCAGCUGGGAGUUGUGGCUGAUUUAGUUCGCCUGUCAAGGGCAGGCUCUGCGCUCCCCGCGCCUCAGGAGCCGACCCAUUGCAGACGUCCCUGAAAUGCAGGGCCUGCUGCCCUAAGCUGUGGCGGCAGUCACAGUCGCAGCGACAGCGCUGAGGCCCUGGGGAGAAGCUCCGUCCCCUUGUCUGUGGGCCCGCCUGCACCCCCCGCCUCAGAGGCAGAUUAUCCUGGAAGAUUUAAGACCCUGAAAAUGUUUCCUUUGAAGGAUGCUGAAAUGGGUGCCUUUACCUUCUUUGCCUCUGCUCUGCCACAUGAUGUGUGUGGAAGCAAUGGACUUCCUCUCACACCAAAUUCCAUCAAGAUUUUGGGGCGCUUUCAAAUCCUAAAGACCAUUACCCAUCCCAGAUUGUGCCAGUAUGUGGAUAUUUCUAGAGGAAAGCAUGAGAGACUGGUGGUGGUGGCUGAACACUGUGAACAGAGUCUGGAAGACCUUCUUCGAGAAAGGAAGCCCGUGAGCUGUUCAAAGGUAUUGUGUAUUGCCUUUGAGGUACUUCAGGGCUUGCAGUACAUGAAUAAACACGGCAUAGUACACCGGGCACUGUCUCCUCACAAUAUCCUUUUGGACAGAAAGGGACACGUUAAAUUGGCUAAAUUUGGACUUUAUCACAUGACAGCUCAUGGUGAUGAUGUUGAUUUUCCAAUUGGAUAUCCUUCAUACUUGGCACCUGAGGUAAUUGCACAAGGGAUUUGCAAAGCCACUGAUCAUGUGCCAAGUGAAAAACCAUUGCCUUCUGGACCCAAAUCAGACGUAUGGUCUCUUGGAAUCAUUUUAUUUGAGCUUUGUGUGGGAAGAAAACUAUUUCAGAGCUUGGAUAUCUCUGAAAGACUAAAAUUUUUGCUUACAUUAGAUUGCGUGGAUGAUACUAUUAUAGUUCUGGCUGAAGAGCAUGGUUGUCUGGACAUUAUAAAGGAGCUUCCUGAAAAUGUGAUAGAUCUUUUGAAGAAGUGCCUCACCUUCCACCCUUCUAAAAGGCCAACACCAGGUGAACUAAUGCAGGACAAGGUUUUCAGUGAGGUAUCAUCUUUAUACACUCCCUUUACCAGACCUGCUAGUCUGUUUUCAUCCUGUCUGAGAUGUGCUGAUUUAACUCUGCCUGAGGAUAUUAGUCAGCUGUGUAAAGAUAUAAACAGUGAUUACCUGGCCGAAAGAUCUCUGGAAGAAGUAUAUUACCUCUGGUGUUUAGCUGGAGGUGACUUGGAGAAAGAGCUUGUUAACAAGGAAAUCAUUCGCUCCAAACCCCCUAUCUGCACACUCCCCAAUUUUCUCUUUGAAGAUGGUGAAAGCUUUGGACAAGGUCGUGAUAGGAGCUCACUGUUAGAUGACACCACCGUGACACUGUCAUUAUGCCAGCUACGAAAUAGAUUAAAAGAUGUUGGUGGGGAAGCAUUUUACCCACUGCUUGAAGAUGACCAGGCUAACUUACCUCAUUCAAACAGCAGUAAUGAGCUGUCUGCAGCUGCAACUCUCCCUUUAAUCAUCCGGGAGAGGGACACAGAGUAUCAACUAAACAGAAUUGUUCUCUUUGACAGGCUACUCAAGGCUUACCCAUAUAAGAAAAAUCAAAUCUGGAAAGAAGCAAGGGUUGACAUUCCUCCUCUUAUGAGAGGUUUGACCUGGGCUGCUCUCCUGGGAGUGGAGGGUGCUAUUCAGACCAAAUAUGAUGCCAUUGAUAAAGAUACUCCAAUUCCUACAGAUAGACAGAUAGAAGUGGAUAUUCCACGGUGCCAUCAGUAUGAUGAGCUGUUAUCCUCUCCUGAAGGCCACGCCAAGUUUCGGAGGGUGUUAAAAGCCUGGGUAGUGUCCCAUCCCGAUCUUGUGUAUUGGCAAGGUCUUGACUCACUUUGUGCUCCAUUCCUAUAUUUAAAUUUCAAUAACGAAGCCCUGGCUUAUGCAUGUAUGUCUGCCUUUAUCCCCAAAUACCUGUAUAACUUUUUCUUGAAAGACAACUCGCAUGUAAUACAAGAGUAUCUGACUGUGUUCUCUCAGAUGAUUGCCUUCCAUGACCCGGAGCUGAGCAACCAUCUCAAUGAGAUUGGAUUUAUUCCAGAUCUCUAUGCCAUCCCUUGGUUUCUCACUAUGUUCACUCAUGUAUUUCCCUUGCACAAAAUCUUUCACCUCUGGGAUACCUUGCUACUUGGGAAUUCCUCUUUCCCUUUCUGCAUUGGAGUGGCAAUUCUUCAGCAGCUACGGGACCGGCUUUUGGCUAAUGGCUUUAAUGAGUGCAUUCUUCUCUUCUCUGAUUUACCAGAAAUUGACAUAGAACGCUGUGUGCGAGAAUCAAUCAACCUGUUUUGUUGGACUCCUAAAAGUGCUACUUACAGACAGCAUGCCCAGCCUCCAAAACCACCUUCUGACAGCAGCGGAGGCAGAAGUUCCACUCCUUAUUUCUCUACUGAGUGUCCAGAUCUUCCAAAGACAGAUCUGCCAAGAGAAUCCAUCCCAUUAAAUGACCUCAAGUCCGAAGUAUCACCCCGGAUUUCGGCAGAGGACCUGAUUGACUUGUGUGAACUCUCAGUGACCGGCCACUUCAAAGCACCCACCAAGAAGACCAAGUCCAGCAAGCCAAAGCUCCUGGUGGUGGACAUCCGUAACAGUGAGGAUUUUGUCCGGGGCCACAUUUCAGGCAGCGUCAAUAUUCCAUUCAGUGCAGCGUUCACGGCAGAAGGGGAGCUGGCGCAGGGCCCCUACGCUUCUCUGCUCCAGAGCUUCAGGGGCAAGGUCAUUGUCAUCGUGGGCCUCGUGGCAAAGCACAUGGCAGAGUUUGCUGCUCACCUUGUGAAGAUGAAAUACCCCAGGGUCUGUAUUCUUGAUGGUGGCAUUAACAAGCUCAAGCCAACAGGCCUGCUCACCGUGCCCUCUCCUCAGAUAUGAAGAACAAGAGAGUGACAGACACACGGGGGUACCCCAUGGCACAGCCCGCCAUGGCCUCGCCCCGUUGACAGAACCAGGCACCCAAAUUGUUGCAUUUCUCUCAACUUUGUCAUGAGACACAUGUUUAAUCCCAUGAUCCUAAUGUUCAGCUAUUCAGGCAGCAAACUUGACUGUACAUGUACUGCUGAAAGAAUUUUCUUAAUGGUGAAAUCUGAUCAUGAAUUCUCACCACAUGGCGACACAACGCUAAAGGAAUUCAGCUGACAAGGCAGAUUUUGUGUUAUCAAGAGAUCUCAGUUGCAUUGAAAAAGCUGCCUCCCAGGGCACUGAACAGGCAGUCCUGACAAAGGUACUAUUUAGAACAUAAAAUAUGGGCCGAAAACCUUCUUUCCAUGAUAAUGAAAGUGAAAAGCUAUUCUCAGUACAUUCCUAUUAAGUAAAUGUUAAGUUUAGUAACUCAUUUUUGGUCCAGAUAAGUUGUCUACCUCCCCAGUACCGCAUGUGUGUGCGUGCAUGCGUGCGUGUAUCUAAGAAGAGGAAAAAUUAACCUAUUCUGUCCCUUUGAAGAAAACAAUAAUCAUUUAUUUCCAGAAAAGAAAAGCCAGAAGCUAUUGAUGUUGACAUAUUUAUUCAUCUCCUGUGCGUAUCCUUCUUCAGGGUGAAAAUGACCUGAGUGGAACAUUUCAAUAAGAGCUUCAAUUGCACUUUCUGGGCUAUGGUUUCAUUGUUGCUGUUUGUUUUGGACUUUUAAUCUUUUUUAUUAAGAUAGCAUUUCCAGACCAUAAAAUUUACCCUUUUAAAAAGUACAAUUCAGUGGCUUUUAUUUUUUUACAAACUUGUACAGUCAUCUACAAUGUAAUUCCAAGACAUUUUGGCCACCCAAAAUAGAAAUCUAUCCCUGCUAGCCGUCACCCCCCAGAAACCUUCCCCCAGGCUCAAUUUUUGUACAGGAAGUGAGAUAGAUACCCAGUUCCAAUCCUUCCAAUCCAAGUUGUCCUAGGGGGCAUGACAUUUUGUGUGUUUUGCUCAUAUAUAUCCAGUCAUUCACUAACUUUAUGAUUCAGUAGCAUGUCCAGCCUUCUUCACUUUGCUGGGCAGCAUUGAAAGACUAAUUCUAGCAAAGCAUUCCAGUCAUACUUCUAAUAAAAGUCUUAUUGCAUCAUAUUGCAAUUAUCUGUGCACAUUUGGGCUCCAUACUAGACUAUAGACUCCUUUAAGGUCAGAGAUCAUAAUUUAUACUGCUUGUUGUCUUCAGCAAACCACCCCACUAGAGAUGCUUGAUAAAUGAAAAAGUAAACUGCAAGUGUUGCAUCGGAAGUGCAUAGGAAAAAAUUUUAACAACCCAGGUAAUUUUUUUCAAAUGCCAAACUCAUCCAUUACCUGAUAUUUAAGAAAUUGAAAUCUCAAUUCACUGAGUGAAGAACCUCCAAUGUUCUGCUCAGCAUUAAGGUUCUCAAAUCCGAGAAGUUGAAACAGGUGACUUCUAACAAUAAGCUGAUAAGCCUAUUGUUAUCUAGGCUAAUAAGAUAAACUAGUUACAUCCCCUUUCCAAAACAUAAACAUGCUAGAUUUUAAAAGAAUAUUAAAAAUGGUUAAUACUUAACCAAGAUUGAGAGAAAUAGAAUUUGCUUGAUGUUAGAUAUGAAGUGCCUGGGACACUGCCAGGACCAUGGAACAUUAGAGGUCAACAGAACCAUAGAAAUGGAGCCUUUAAUAUGCAUAUAGGGGUCGAGAACACAGCCACAGCCUUCUGUUAGGGAACUGGUAUUCAGAAAACUUUCCAAAGUGACAGACUGAAAGAAUUCAUGGCUCCAUGAAACAAUUAGCAAUAACUUCCCACCAAAUCAGGAAAGUUUGCCAUGGCCUGGAAUUCUGAGUGAGGAGAGACAAUGCUGACAUAGGCAUUUGGAAGAGUCAAUGGAAAGGCUGGGGGAUGUUGCCAAAUUUGAACUGGCUUUAGGGCACAUGUCCAUCUGCCUACUUAAAAAUGAGAACAGUGUGUUGCAUCAGACUUUUGGAAUGCAUAGAUGGUACGAGAUCUUUGUUCAACUCCUCUGUUUCCUCCUGCAAAUAGUUACCAGAAAAUACUUCUUUAGAGAUUAAUAUCAAAAGGAGAGCACAGCCUCUGAGAAGGGUCGUAUGCAGGAGUCUCAUCCACUGAGAUCCACCAUCGGAGGAAGACGGUGGUCCCUGCCGUAGGUCAUCAGAGGUUUGGCUUUUUCAGAGUCCUAAGUAGUCAUCUCGCUGGUAUGUGCACCUGCAGGCUCUAUAUAGGCCUCUUGCUAACCAGAUCAUGCAUUUUUCUUGAUACACAUUCAUGAAACCAGAGUUGAAGCAAAACGAUAAUCUAUGAGGUUUUGUUUGGCUGUUCGUCUCAAGCUCAAACACCCUUCGCAAUUGCCGUCUUGGACCUUAUGCAGAAAAGUAACAGGGAACUGUUAACAAGCCUGGCCCUUGACCCUGAGCAGCACAUGCCGUCACACACAACCUGCAGAGUUCCCAGUCCACUUUUAGCCCAUGUAAUAUUAGAAAUAGUCCACAUGGUAAAUAAGCUAUUUUAAAAGGUAGCCACUUUUUUUAAGUUGCAUGUAUUUAUAUCUUGUCUGAGAAAUUUUCUGGUUGAUGUCUUCUAAUAAGUGCUUGUCACAUGGGGACUAAACUUGGACCUUGGCAAGCCCAGUGUUCCGUGGCUGGACUGUGGUGCCUGCAGCCUCCACUGGACAUCCAGGGCAUUUGUCCCCUUUGGGCUGACAGUCUUCAGUGUCCCACUUCAUCCCUUCCCAAGGGUCUACAUGCACCGCGUUGUCUGCGGCAUUUUUAUUCCUCACCUGAGCAGUGAGCAGAGGGAGCCAAGAGCCGUAUCGCCAGCAUUCCAGGGUCUUACAUGUUAAUCCUCGGGGUGGCCGAGGUUAAAACACUGUCCUGCCUGGGCUUAAGACUAAUCUUGGUGCUGUAACAAAUGCAGUCCAAACAUUAGAUCAGAAUCUAAAUGUUGCUUCCUGCCACACUGAAAGAUCCAGCUCUUGAAAUGUCCCUCUUUGUAUGUCUGUGGCUUUUUAAAAAACAGCUCGUGACCUAUGCUGUUCUUCUUUAAAACUGCAACAGUGCAAUCGCUAGUUAAAGCAAUAACUAGACAAGAUAUACAGCAGAGACAUUUUCUCAUUAAUCCUGGAAACUUAUGUUUGUUUCCAUCAUUAUUAACUUUUUCUCACCUCUGUUAGCAUACUUUGCAGUCCCUUCAGGUAGAAUAACUCAGUAUUUUAAGGCCUGUGCUGAGCUGGAACUGGGUCGGCCCUCUGUUGAGAGGGCCAAAUGUACCCAUUUUGUGCCAAGUCCACAUCCGUAGCUGACCACAGCAUGCGUAUUUACACCAUAGAAAUUGGCACAUGUCACAGAAUCAUGGCUUUCUUUUUAUUCCUUUUCACUUGAAAGUCAGUAUUUACCAUCAAACCACUGAUUUUUGCCAUCCCGUGUUGCAUGGAGGGAGAAGGAAAUUUGAAGAGCAUCUAAUCCAGACAUCAUUGUUCAAAACAGUAGGAACAGUGAAUGAGUUUACAGAAAUCACACAACUAGUAAAAGACAAAUCUAAAAUUAUGUCUCUGCUUUCUCCUGUUUCUGACCCUUUCUCUGUCCAUCCCAUACAGAAAGAGAAGGUGAAGGACACCGCUGUCAGCCAGGACACAUUCAUUACAGGGCCAGGUCCUGCGUGGGUCCCUGAAGGUAGUGACUGGACUCUUGCCCCUUGAGGAGUACACGCCACUCACUGUCAGCUCUUGGCAGCUGCACUCACCUUCCUAACCCAGGGCACACAUCCAAAAGUAAAGAUUUCAAAAGAGAAGGGAAGAAUGUCCAGACUGAGGGGAUGACACUGUUCUCAGGAGCUCUUGCUACAUACAACAUUACCCCUUCGCCCCGAGACAACAUAACCCAUCAGGGUAGAGACUGGCACAGCCCCGACCUCAACAUGCAGGGACAAAAUGGCCUGUAAUAUUAGUCUUCUCCAUAUUCACCAGGGAGCGGGCUGGAAGGACUGGGCAAGCCUGCAUCAGCCUCCCACUCACAUGUGGAAAGCUGAAAAGGGGGAUGGGAAGGAGGCAAGCUAGUUCCUGGGUCUAUUAACCACAAAAGAGAAGAAAUGGAGAUCGUUUUGAUCAUUUGCUAACUUAAAAGUAUUUGUAUGCUCUGCUAUCAACGAUCAUGAUAGUUUACUUGUCGGAUAGCUUGUCUUUUCUAAAACUAUAUCUCAAACCAUUAACAUUCCUUUGGCUGUGCGUGUGUCGCCAUGAACUCCAUGGAGGCCCCUGAGGAGCUGCAGAACAGGUGUCUGACUCCUGUUGCAGGCAGAGGACCCAGAGGGCAGCCUGCACAGGAUGUGCCUCCAGGGAGAGCCUUUCUUCUUCAAUGGUGAGUAAAGAGCAAACACCAUCUCUGUGCUCCGGUUAGCCUUAGUUACUUACACACGGCAGCACAAGGGCCCCGGACCAGACGGCUAACUAAUGGCAGGCCCACCAUGACCAUGUGAACACCAUUUCCUGCUCACGAGGAUCUCAGAGGUCCGUCCUAGAAGUGUUGUCCUCCCCUAUGCCACCCGCCCCCGGCCCCGCACCUGCCCGAGCGGGACUGUGCCCCCAGAAGCCCUGCUGAGACAGCCCUGGAUGAAGCCUGGCCUGAGCAACUCGUGUACACAGAUGGAAUCCACUUCCAGAGGUUUAUCCAUUACCUCCCUCUAGCAAGGGCGGUGGGGAAGUCAAACCAAAAUACAGAUUCAGAGCUAGGAGUUUAGUCUGAGUAAUUUACUUUCCCAAAUUAGCCUGGUAGAGGCUGGCCAAUGUUAAAAGUUUCCAUCCCUGCAGUAUAGGGGACUGUACAUUCCCCAUAAAGUGUGGUUUCUCUUUAGUUUAUAGCAAAAUUCGUUUUCAUAUCAAACUGCCUUGUUGUUAAUGUCAGCUGCUCAUUUAUAUUUAAGCGACCGUCUCUCCCCUAAAAGGAGGCAAGACAGGAAAGUUCACUGGUAAUGAGGUCAUUUCCUUUCAAUUCAUCUACCUCUUUUUAUAUUAACUUAAUAUGAAUCCUAAACAGGUUACAUCUAGCAGCAUCCCAGGUGAUAGACUAGUUCCAAUUUCAGAAAUAACCAUUCUCCGUUUAUCUGGCUAACUAACAUUUUCAAUACAUUUGACACAGAAAAUGAGCCAAUGGGGCAUUUAAGCACAUUCCAAAAGAUGGUCACUUAUGAGUCAAACAAGUUUUGAAAAAGUGUAUAUGUUAAGUCAAUGAAGUCAUUAAAAAGGAGGUAAGUUAGUCAAUAAUUUUUAUCUAAACCCACUUAUGUUAAUAUGAAUUCUAGAAAUGCCAUUUUAACAUGAAUCCUGUACACCAUUUAUAACAAUAUUUAAAAUCUCAGCUGUGACUUACAGAAGUUACAUAAGGCAGGCUGUUUCCUCUUGUUCAGAAACUGCCUCAGAAGGUGACGAUACCUCCAGCGGAAGCUGGCCUUGUUCAAUGUCCCAUAAAUAAUUAAUUGCAUGAUGUUCUGAAAUGAAUUUAAAACAGCCCCUUUUGAUUAAGUGAAGUAACAUCAAACUUCAUUUUAAAGUUCAUUAUUAUCAGCAAGAUAAAUACUAGUAAAUCAAAAAGAAUAAAUAAAUGAAGAAAUGAAAGUGUUAGGAUUAGUUAAUCCUUUUCCUUAGCCUGUCCUGCCCAGGACAUUAACUGAGCCUUUUAAAGAGCUGUAGGCAAUGAUAAUAGAGCCUGUUUGAAAUUUUAUAAGAGAUAAUUAUUGGGUAUGUACUUGAUUACCAGCUGGAACAAAAAGAUGAUUUUUAGGAUCAGAACAAAGCAAUACAGUAACUAUCUGGUACAAAGCAGUGGUAUGGAAAUAACUAAAUGAAAAAGUAACAUGGAAACGGGUCCCGCUGACCAGCCCUAACACUGCCAUUCCCUGCCUGGGCCUCCUCUUGCCAUCCGGGCUCCGGCUCAGGAUUUCCACAAGUGACUUAGCCAUCCCAGGAUGGCAGGGGGUCCCCUCCUCCCUGACACCACUUUUGCUAGUGGCAUGUGUAGUUUUUGCUACCCCAGCUCUAGGAAGACAGGACUGAGGAAGACCUAAGUGUCCAUUGUUUCCUGCUCAUGACUCAGAGAGAGAAUGAACUUUCUCAAGGAUCUUCCAUUUCACCCCACUAAAAACCCUUUAGCCCCCCAGGAUUUUGUAAAUCCAGCUUCUUGCUGCUCUAUCAGCACCACUAAUAGCUGCCUACAGAGCAGGCCUCGACUCCUGUCACAACUGGAACCUCCAGGCACCUCAGUGCCAUGCAUUCGGGGUCAACGGUCAGGAUGUCACCCUGAGAGAAACAGUGCAGGUUUCAGAAAGAGGAGUGAGAAGCGAGUGGAGUUUCCCUGCUUUAAGGAUCACAUAGCACAGGAUGCUGGCGGGACCAGGGGAGCAGGGGCUGGGCCCCAGGUGCUGCUCUCCCUCUCUCUCACCCUGGAGCACCCCCAGGCCAGCUCUGGCUCUCCCUGUAACUGCAGGGUGGCAGCAUCCCCUGCCUGUGUCCGGGCCCUUGGCGGAGCUCACAGAAAAGCAUGUGGUGAAAAGAGAAGUGUGAAAGUGGAAGACGUUUACCAUUUCACAAAAACCGGAACUGUUCUGUCAAAAUACAAGCCAACACGUUUACCGGUAUGUUGUUUUAAAGAAAAAAUUUUGACACAAGAAUGUAAGGGCUCUGCCAAUCCACGUGUGCAGUCAGUCCCACUGUGUGACUUCCAAGGGGAGCCUGGACGAGCUGUGUGAAGAGGAGACACCACUCUCUGGCCACUGUUUCAUAAAAGCUGCCAUUUCUGCUCCAUGGAUACUUUCCAGGCAAGAGCCCUUUCAGAUUUCUCUUUGUUUUAUCACCACCCAUCCCCUAAACCAGUUUUACCACGUAAAACACCCUCUUUUUACACUGAUCUAAAUUCGGUCCUGAUAAAAUCUGGCAGUUUCAGCUUCGCCAAUAGCCAUCCUGGCCUAGAUGAGAGAUUGACUUCAUUUCGAAUCCACUCUUCCCUUCAGUGUUAUCUCCCGCUCCUCUUGCUGCUCCCUCCUCAACUUCAAAGCAGCUUUGUGGUUUGCCUCACAGAAAAUCAAUGGCUGGGAGAUGAAAAGGCUCUCUUGUUUAUCUGACUGGCCCACUGAAGGUCAUUCCGCUCAGGAGCUCCGUGUGCGGGCCAUAGCCACCCUCCUUGCAGCGGGGAGGAGGGCUCUGUGCACCGAACCCUUCAGAAGGAGCAGGUGGGCCCAAGCUAUGGGCCAGGGGCACAGCAAAGAAUCAGCCGAGCUGGGAGGACUGGUGCUUGGAGGAUAAACACUAGGUGUUAUCAAGUGUGACACUGGCUUUUAUUAAAAAGCUAUAUCUGGACCUCUUCUGAGGUAAAAACUAUAAAGCUUGCCACUUUCUCUAAUAGGUGCCUGAGAAGUGACUUGCAAGUAAUAGGCUUUAAGAAUUAGG